GCAAGUCGAGCGUGAAAGUUCCUUCGGGAAUUAGUAAAGCGGCGAACGGGUGAGUAACAUGUGAGAAUCUACCCUUUAGUGAAGAAUACUCUCGGGAAACCGAGGAUAAUACUGCAUACGUCCCCACGGGGAGAAAGAUGGCUUUAUGCUGUCGCUGAAGGAUGAGCUCGCGUACUAUUAGCUUGUUGGUAGGGUAAAGGCCUACCAAGGCUUUGAUGGUUAGUCGGCCUGAGAGGGUGAAC
rnacentral:rRNA from 1 species